rnacentral:rRNA from 1 species
AACGAACGCUGGCGGCAUGCCUAACACAUGCAAGUCGAACGAGACCUUCGGGUCUAGUGGCGCACGGGUGCGUAACGCGUGGGAAUCUGCCCUUGGGUUCGGAAUAACAGUUAGAAAUGACUGCUAAUACCGGAUGAUGUCGAAAGACCAAAGAUUUAUCGCCCAAGGAUGAGCCCGCGUAGGAUUAGGUAGUUGGUGGGGUAAGGCCCACCAAGCCGACGAUCCUUAGCUGGUCUGAGAGGAUGAUCAGCCACACUGGGACUGAGACACGGCCCAGACUCCUACGGGAGGCAGCAGUGGGGAAUAUUGGACAAUGGGCGAAAGCCUGAUCCAGCAAUGCCGCGUGAGUGAUGAAGGCCUUAGGGUUGUAAAGCUCUUUUACCAGGGAUGAUAAUGACAGUACCUGGAGAAUAAGCUCCGGCUAACUCCGUGCCAGCCGCCGCGGUAAGAC